AGCCUGAACGCUGUCGGCGUGAUUAAGACAUGCAAGUCGCACGGUGUAGCAAUACACAGUGGCGGACGGGUGAGUAAUGUAUCGUUAACGUACCCCGAACUCUGGGAUAGCCAUCCGAAAGGAUGGGUAAUACCAGAUGAGACCACGAGCUGGCAUCAGUUUGUGCUCAAAGGUUCGCCGGUUUGGGAUCGGACGAUAUGGUAUCAGGUAGUUGGUGAGGUAAUAGCUCACCAAGCCUUCGACGCCUAGCCGGACUGAGAGGUCGGACGGCCACAUCGGGACUGAGACACUGCCCGGACUCCUACGGGGGGCUGCAGUAAUGAAUCUUCCACAAUGCACGAAAGUGUGAUGGAGCGACGCCGAGUGAAGGUUAAGUCCUUCGGGAUGUAAACUUCUAAACCUGCUAGAAGACCUGAUCGGCAGGCUAUAAGUGGCGACUAACUCUGCGCCAGCAGCCGCGGUAA
rnacentral:rRNA from 1 species